CAAUGUCAAGGUCUGGAGAUGUUUCUGCUGUGAGCUCACUGGGGACUCACGUUGAGAAAUAAUGGUUUAGGACAUCUGGCAGACCGCCGGGAUUCGGCUAGUGUGUUCUUGCAUGGCAGAAUCAAGGUAGCCUUGGAGGCUGACUCGUGCACCAAUAAUGCAGGAGUCCUGCGGUGAAGGAUGUCACGGACGGCUCAAUUCCACCGACCAAGAUUGUUCCUUCUCUGCAGGUUUAAUCUGCUCUGAAACCAUGUUGCUUUGAAAUUAUCAUCAGGUCAGAAGUGUCUAAGCUGAGAGUAACGGCAUUCUGCUGGGCUGCUGGGUCACCGCGCUCCAUUUUUUUUGUGAGAACCAAUACCCCAGGGCUUUCAAGGACAGAGGACUAAUUUAAAAAAGCAUUUCUUCUCU